rnacentral:rRNA from 1 species
UACGUAGGGUGCAAGCGUUGUCCGGAAUUAUUGGGCGUAAAGAGCUUGUAGGCGGUUUGUCGCGUCUGCUGUGAAAUUUCGGAGCUCAACCCCGAACUUGCAGUGGGUACGGGCAGACUAGAGUGUGGUAGGGGAGACUGGAAUUCCUGGUGUAGCGGUGAAAUGCGCAGAUAUCAGGAGGAACACCGAUGGCGAAGGCAGGUCUCUGGGCCAUAACUGACGCUGAGAAGCGAAAGCAUGGGGAGCGAACAGG